rnacentral:rRNA from 1 species
UAGGUAAUUGUUCCAGCCGCGCGGUAAUACGUAUGUUCCAAGCGUUAUCCGGAUUUAUUGGGCGUAAAGCGAGCGCAGACGGUUAUUUAAGUCUGAAGUGAAAGCCCUCGGCUCAACCGAGGAAUUGCUUUGGAAACUGGAUAACUUGAGUGCAGUAGAGGAAAGUGGAACUCCAUGUGUAGCGGUGAAAUGCGUAGAUAUAUGGAAGAACACCAGUGGCGAAGGCGGCUUUCUGGACUGUAACUGACGUUGAGGCUCGAAAGUGUGGGUAGCAAACAGG